GCUGGGACUACAGGCGCCCGCCAUGAUGCCCGGCUAAUUUUUUGUAUUUUUAGCAGAGACGGGGUUUCACCCUGUUAGCCAGGAUGGUCUCAUCUCCUGACCUCGUGAUCCGCCCGCCUAGGCCUCCCAAAGUGCUGGGAUUACAGGCGUGAGCCACCGCGCCCGGCCUAAUAAAGGACAAUUUUUAAUAGCCACUGGACUAUUUAAGUGAUCUCUUCUGUCAGUUUCUUUUACCAUCAGAGGACACAGCAGCAAGGUGCCAUCCUAGAAGCAGAGAGCAGACCCUUACCAGACAACCAACCAGCUGGUGCCAUGAUCUUGGACUUCUCGGCCUCCAGAACUUUGAUUAAUUGGAUCCUCCACCUUGCAUAUAUACAUCUUGCAUAUAUAUACACGGGCUCAAUUAUUAGAUUUGUCAGGAUAAUCAAAUAAAAAUACCAGGUCAGUGAUCAGCAUUGAAUGGUUGUUAGACAGUCAUGUCAGUCAACACUGAUUUCACCUCUUUCUGUAAGCAUACUGAGUAAAAACUUUUUUUCAGUUUAAAUUGAUUUACGUGAAAGUGGAUUAAAAGGCCUUUCAAAAGAAUGGGUUUGAAAAACCUCAGUCCGCUUUAAUACACGUACAUUUCUUUCCUUUCUUCAUUUAAUGUAACAUAUGUCUGUUGUAACUACGUUUCUUAAAUAUUAUUUUAAGGUUAUAUGUUCUUUAAUUAUGCUCCAACAUAAUUUGGUCACCAAAAAUGAAAUAAUAGUUUAAAACAAGUAGCUGUUACUAAGUGUGCUAAAAAUACUCAUUUUGUAAUUAAUUUUUAAAGUUUUCUUAGUAUAUUAUAAAUUGUUCCCUGGUCAAGUACAAACGUACACAUCAAAAUGCCCAUAUUGUGUCUAUCAUUUGAUGUGAAUUAUAUGUGAAAUUUUUCUUGUUCAAAAUUUUACUAACCAGAAUUCUGUUACAGGCACUUAAACACGCAGCAUGAGGAAAAUGGAACAACAAUCUUGAGGUGCCUUCUGAAUCAUCAGAUUAAAUUAUGCUUCGGUCUUGCACUGCUGCCUAGGCUAGAGUGCAGUGGUGCAAUCAGGGCUCACUGCAGCCUCACUCAACUUCCCAGUCUCAAGCCAUCCUCCUACCUCAGCCUCUGUUCCACUAAUCUACUUGUCAAUUUUUCCAGCAACACCACACCCUCCUGAUCACCAUAGCUUUAUGCAACAACAAGAAACAAAUUUAUUAGCUAACCUAACCACUAAUGACGCAAGAGACAAUUCUAAGGACUUUCAAAACAGCAAAGUAGGAGCAGCUGCUACCUCUAGGGAUGAGGGAGAAACUCAAAAAUGCAUACAAAAACCAUUGCAUGAAAAGUGACUGGAUUUGUACAUAGCGUCAGGAGAUGUGCGUAGUGUCAAAGUAUCUCAUCACACAUUACUUGAUAAUUACAAAUGAGAAAAAUGAACCUUCACAGUGGCAAGACUUGACUUCUACCUCUUUCAAAAAGAUGCAAUUGUCCAAUUAUUGGUGAAAUUGUCAUUUCAUGCUAUUGGCUAUUUGAAAUUCCUCCUCUAAUUUCAGAAUAAAUCACUGAAAUUGACAUCGGCCAGUCUGAAUUUCAAGAAAUUACCUGCUGAAGACAAGAGGGAUCUCUUCUUCAGAUUUGCAGUCUGGGGAAGACACAGCCUCUACUGUACUUUAGAACCUGAGAUAUGGUGGUGGAGGGAGCCCUGGGUCGAGUGGUCAGAGCUCCGGACUCCAGCCCCAUGCAACUUCAAAAUAUGACAAAUGUCUUGAAGGGGAGAUUGGCAUGCAGAUGAGGAAGGCCCUCUCGCCAACACAUUUGUAUUUCCUCUGUACUGUGAGACUGUGGGAGAUUUACUGCGACAUUUAGAAGCUUUCUUCCAAACUCCUGGGCCUCCGACACUGGUUCUAAACUCAGCAAAUGUUCUUUGGGAAAAACAGACAGUGCAUGUGAGGCCCCUCGAGUUUGGAAUUUAUGUCUCCAGCUUCACAUGGUCUCUCAAGUGCUUAUGCUUUUCUUCUCUCUGCCACCCACAUUCCCACAUCCCGCCCACCCCCCAACUUUCCUCCCUUCACCUUCCCAUGGAGACUUUUUGCCUGGGCUAAAUCUGAUCCUCAGCCCACUCUCAGAAUCGAUAAAUGCCCCUAGGUGAUUGUAAGCUCACCUAAGAUAUACUUUUUCUCCUCUAGAAUUUUAGUUUAUUAGAUUUUUCUAGUUGUCUUUGCAAAAGCGUUAACAGGCUCUGACUUCUGACAUUCAACUAGAUGUGGAAUAUCCAACCCCUAGCAUUUCAUGGAAUGUACUGACCAAGAUAAAAUGUGUUCUUAUUAAACAAUGCCAUUUCUUGACCACUUCUGUUUUUAGGAAUUGUGGUAUCUGAGUCAUGGUGAUUAGAAGUACUAAUGAAAUAAAUGGGAAAAUUAAACUUCUACUAACAUUUCAUAUAGUAGGGAGAUGUCUGUGAAGAAUUAUAACUGGUACAGAUUUUGUGUUUAUAAACAAGGAGACAGAAAAUGCAGAAAAUAAAAAAUAUUUUAUUUAGUUUUAAAGUGGUCAGAGUACUUUGUUUCUAAUCUCAUAACAUUAACUAGCAACAGAUUGAACUUUUAAGCAAAUUCCUCUGACCUAGUAGCUACUAGGAUUACCUACUGCAUGUAGAAACCAUUCUUAACUUGAGGGCCACAUAAAAAGAGGCCAUUGUCAGUAAUUUGCCAACCCUUGAUCCAGACCAUGUAUUGCUCUACCUCUAAACCAUAGUUGCUUCAUUUGCUUAAGUCUUUUCACAUAAUAAAACCCUUAUUAUAAGGAGGUGGUGCUGUUACCAGGACAACCAGGAACUGGGCCUCUACUAUUGUCAGCUGAAUUCUCUGCUCCGUUGUCAAUUCUCAACUCCAUUUCUGGCUUACCUCAAACAGAGUCACAAGAAAGUAAAUAUUUUGCAAUCUUCUUGUCCUUAGCUGUUCGUUCCUCCAGAAUGACAUAGAGAUUUGUAAAUAUUCACUGGAAUUCAAUGGCUUCAUGCAUUCUAUUUCCACAAACAAAUCCUGAUACAUUUCUCUCCUUCAAUAUAAAGUACUCAUUUUCUGAUCCGUAUUAGCCAGCAUCUUGCACUCCAAAUAACCAGUAACAAAAAGAUCCAUGGGUUGAGGUGAGAUUAUUGCUUUAGAUAGAGAAGUAUCUGACCAUUGUUAAUUACUUUGAAAACAGAUAUGUCAAAAAAGAUAAAACAUACAUUUAUUGUCCCUGACAAUUUACAAACCAAAAUAUACCAUAAUGCAACAAACUAUCUGGGUUGUGGCUUAUCUCCUCAGUUGAAACACUAUUGCCAAUGCUAAACAAUGGAACACAGUAUUUGGCUAUUGGCUAAAGAAAAUGAUGUUCAUACAGCUUAGACAGAAAUUAGUCAUUGAGUCACUAGAGACUAUAAGCAGCAUAUGAAUGCCUGAAACUUACAGAAGAAUCAAUACAGGCUAUUAAACUCUCAUUUCUUAGAAUACCGUAUACUUGCGUGUUUAAACUGACAUCUUAAAAAGUUUUGUAAAGAGCAAUUCAAACUCACAGCAUGAUAAAUAAUCUUUAGGUUUAAUGAGACCUCAAGAACUAGACCAGCUUGAAGCAUGCCAUCUUACCUAGUUACUUAAGAAGCUAGUUUUUCCUUUUGUAACAUGAUCUCAGAAAAAAGAAAAUAUAAUCAUUGUUCUAAGGCAAUCCACAAACUCUGUUACUCCCAUUACAUUUUCAAAACUGCAGACACUCAGGGGGUGUCCGAUUCAUGCCUGGGGCCAUGUGAAACACCCACCUCUGUGAGUAGCUUUAUUAACUCUAUAAACACUUCAAGACAUUCCUAGCAGUGUGGGGUAGCACACAUAUCUAUUGUCUAUCUUAGGUUUGGAAUCAUUUUUCCUCUUAAAAAUAACACACUGAACCAAUUAGCUUUUCUAAAUCAAAUUAACCUAAUAGCAUUCAAAAACUGACAAACAUAAUCUGCUUGUUCUAAGACAAAAGUGGAUUAGUGAACAGAAUCAUAUCUCUAGUCAGGUCCAAAUCAAGUUAUAAAUUCUAACCAAACAGUGAUUGCUGGAAUAAGUCAUAUUAUUAGUAUGCAUAGUCAUACUGAUCUCAAAUGUAAGCAACAUAGGCCUUUUCAGCAGGGAGAUAUAAAAGUUUAGAGUUGAAGAAUGUCUUUUCAUGUUGUGGUAGAGAGCUUGUUUCCUUUGACGUACAUGGCUCCCUCAAGCCUUAGGCUAUUUAGUUACAUCCCUUGUAGUCACAGGAAGGAAUAGCACUCCUCAUUUUUCUAUACCAUCUUUUAGGCAUGUUAUUGUUUAAUACUUUUUUUUUUGUUGCCUGCCUGCUGCUUGUUAGUAUAUGCACCAAAGCAAAUGAGGUAAGACUUCAAUGCAUCAAAUGCUUUUCCUUAAAACAACAUUUUUAUUGAAAUAUGAAACAAAUAUUUUUAUUACCUUCUUUAUAGAAGUAUUUUUUAAAGAAUAGUGAUUGAUAAUAUUGACAGAAAGGAGGACCUAUGAAUUAUCUAUAAAUUAUCUUUAUAUUUGAACUAUUCACAAAUGCAGAAAAUUUAAAAAUCAAAUACAUUUUUCACUUGCUAAUAUAUCUUUUCAUGAGACAUUAUCCUAUAAAAUCCACAGAGGGAUGUGUCCAUUUCUAUUCUCUGCCAACCCUUUUGGUACCACCCAUUGGACAUAACAUUUAGAAUUAAAUUAAGGUUAUCACUAUUGUUAAGCAAAUACUAUUAGAGGUUAGACUGGCAGGUCUUCAGAAAUAGCUCACACUGGAGCCAUGCAUCUCAGUACUCACACUCCUGUGUAGCCUCCUUUCCUUGAAUCUGAGAAUCUGAGAUGGUCCUGUAACUUGUUUUUAACCAGAAGAACAUGGUAGAAGUGAUACUGCCUGACUUCUGAGAUAAAAUUGUAAGAUUCCUUGCAGAUUUUCACCUAGGUCCCUUGGAAUGAGUACCCUGGAAAAAGCCAGCAGACACCACGCUGUGAGCAAAUGCCCAACCUAGCCAAGCAGUGGAGCAACAUGGGGAAAACGGAGAUACGUGGACAUUCUCCAGCUAUUUCAGUCAACCCAGCCAAGGAGAAGACAUGUGAGUGUAGAUGCUAUUGUAUAUGUCUAGGCCAGUAAAGCCUUUAGCAAGCUGGAGCCCCAGCAGCUAUUUGAAUUCAAUGAGAGACCCCAAGUGAGAGCCACCAUAUUGACCCAAUCAACACACCGAAGUGUGAGAGAGAAUAAUUAAGUGCUAGCCUAAGCCACUGAAUUUUGAGGGUGGUUUGUUACACAGCAAUCAACCAAAGCAAAGAUAUUGGUUACUUGUUUGGGGGUUUCAUUUUUAAUUAUAACAUUCCAUGGCUUCUAAACAAAUUUUGCACUUAUAAUUUUAUCAAUUUACUGAUAAUCCUGCUGUCCUUGUUUUGUAUCUACAAUGCUUAGAUUAGAAAAUCUAAUGGAGAAGUGUGUGUGUUUGUGUGUGUGUGUGUGUGUGUGUGUGUGUGUAUUUCACUCUUUUAUAUAAUGGAUUUUGAGGAACAACUAGAUUGGCUUUCUAAGAGAGGGGGAAAUGCUUCUGAAUAUUUUAAGUAAAAUUUUGAUCUACAACAACUCUGCUGUAAAUGUUUAAUAUAAUAUUAUUUUGAGACUUUGCAUGAGCUAAAAACAUCUAAAGCUAAUAAAGCCAGGCUUUUAAAGAGAAAAAGAGUAAUUAUAGGUUGCCUGUAAGAAACUCACUUACUUUACUUUUUUAUUUAUCUAUUUUUUAACUUAUCAUUUUAGAUACUCUCUGAAUUUUAAUUGUAGUGUUUAGAUGUUGAUCUGUCUUUACAUGUCAAACAUUUAAAUUAACUCUUUUGCCUGAAAGAAGAAAUACCAAGAUACAUAAAUUGAAUAAAAGGAGUGGUCUUGAGCACCAUAAAAAUACAAUGUUUGGGCCGGGCAUGGUGGCUCAUGCCUGUAAUCCCAGCACUUUGGGAGGCCGCAGCUGGUGGAUCACGAGGCCAGGAGAUUGAGACCAUCAUGACUAACACAAUGAAACCCCAUCUCUACUAAAAAUACAAAAGCAAAUUAGCCAGGCGUGGUGGCAUGCACCUGUAGUCUCAGCUACUCGGGAGGCUGAGGCAGGAGAAUUGCUUGAACCCAGCAGGUGAAGGUUGCAGUGAGCUGAGAUCACACCACUGCACUCCAGCCUGGGUGACAGAGAGAGACUCCGUCUCAAAGAAAAACAAAACGAUGUUUCAAAAUCUACACAGAAAAGAAAAAGAGGGGAGAAGAAAACUAAAAAGAGACUCUAAGAAAAAUAUUGAAGAAGAAGAUGGUUGGUGAAGGGGAUAUUGCUCUAGUACUAGUAUUUCUUUAGGCAGCUGUUUAAUGUUGCCUCUGAAUAAGUACAUAUUUUAAGGCAGUUAACAAUCUGGUUUAUGAAAAAAUGGGAAAUCACUGUGUGUUAGUGAGCCAGACAGAUGUGUAUAGUGUGGAUAGGGUUCUCUCUUUAAAAUGCACAGAACUGGAAUUUAGCGUUAACCUCAUAAGCACUUGAUGUUCAUGUGGGUGCUCACCAGGCAAUAUGCUCCAGCUAUUGAACAGAAUGCAUUCACUUGCUGUAUACUGAGUGGUCCCCUAGUAAGCUGGAAAAAGUUGUACUUAUGUCAUGUUUAAUUUAUAUAGUGUAGACAUCAUGAAUAAUUAAAUUUAAUAACUACUCAAUGUCAGUGUUUAUAUAUGGCUAGUAGCCAAUAUUUUUUGGUUCUUCAAGAAGAAAGGUACAUGUCUUAGGAAAACUUGAUACAGGAAAAUAUCAGUAUUCUCACUUCAGAGUCAUUCCUUUGGGGAAAAAAAAAGGCUACAAAUUUCCUAACUACGUGUUAAGCAUUGGUGCAGGCAUUGAUAAAGUUUGGAUGUUUGUCCCCCACAAAUGUCAUAUUGAAAUGUAAUCCCCAAUGAAGACGGGGCCUGGUAGGAGGUGUUGGCAUCCUGGGGUCAGAUCUCUCAUGAAUGGCUUGGUGUUGUCCUUGGGAUAGUGAGUAAGUUCUUGCGAGAUCUAGUUGUUUAAGAGUCUGGCACCUCCUCCCUCUCUCUCUUGCUCCCUCGCUCUCACCAUGUGACAUGCUUGCUCUCCCUUCACCUUCUGCUAUGAUUGGAAGCUUACUGAGGCCCUCACUAUGAGCAGAUGCUGGAACAAUGCUUAUACAGCCUGCAGAACUGUGAGCCAAUUAAACUUCUUUUCACAUUACCCAGCCUCGGGUAUUUCUUUAUAGCAAUGCAAGAGUUGGCUAACAUGGGCAUAGAGGGCAUAUAGCAGCUACAUUUGCCUGAGGUGUAUAGCAAAGGUGGUGUCAGGAAAGGUUAGCAUUGAGCUUUGUUCUUUAAAGUGAGUAAGUUACCAGGAUGGUAAAGGAGUAUCGAUGCAAAGUAAGGAGUGGAGAAAUACAUUUUAAGUGGAGGGAAUUAUUUAAAACAGGGCCCGAAUGUCUUCCUCGGGUGUUGCCAUAUAUUGUAUCUGAACAUCUUAUAUAGUAUUUAUUAUUUGAUGAUGUAAAAUCAGUUUCUUAUUGUUUCCUUCUUUCUCUAGAUUGCAAGCUUAGGGGGCAGCAAUAAUACGUCACUUAUGUUUGAGUCCUAAUUCCUCAUACAGUCUUUGGCAUAAAUAAUAGGCACUCAGUAAUUACUAUAAAUAAAGAAAGAAAAUAGCUGUAGUAAAAAUGGAUAACAUUUGUUGUAACAGUUUCAUUUAGAUAUUUAUGAGAGUGUUAGAGCUCCCUGUUAUAUUGUAAGAUUUUUUAGGGAAGGGAUCUUGCAUAAGUUUUAUCCUUUAAAUGGUGCCUGACUCAUAGUUAGAACCCUAUGGAAAGCAAAUUAUAGUCCUUUACAUUUCUUUAAUCAGCCAGGGCCUAAUUUAACCCUAUACGUUUAUAUAAAGGGCAGAAAUUAUUACAAUAAAUAAUCUUGAAACAGCAGAAUUCUGCAUUACAAAUAUGAGGCUGCCAUAUUUCUGUGUUUCUGGUUGCCUAGAAACAAAAAUGUGAAGUUGUAUGAAACUAUAAGAGUUUGUACUCAUAAGAUAUUCUAUGCAAAGUUCAGCCUGCCUCUCUGGGUUUGGAAAGCAUCAAUUCUGAGGAGCUUCAGACAAUAUUGCGGUCUUCAUAGCUGAAAGUUUGCAAAGUUGGGCUUGUUUCAUGGUAUUACCGGCAUAUCCAAUUAGCUAAAGAAAAUAAUUCUUCAUUUAGAGUAUCCAGAACAGACCAAUAACAAUAUUGUUCAAUAACAACUGCUCUAAAU
rnacentral:lncRNA from 10 species